CUCCGCCGCGGAAAGCAAAAUGUGCCGCCAACUGCCUCUGGUUCUGCCUGCGCACUCGCCGAAGGAGGAGGGAGUCGGGGUCGGGGUUCCCGGCGUCUAGCUGGGGCAUAUGCCCCACCCUGCGUGAUGGGUAGAUCCGCCUAUGGGUGCUGACCUUCGGUGACCUGCGGCCGGAGCGAGGUGAUGUGAGGCACGGUGGCAAGCGCACAGCUCGAAGCAUCCGGAUCCAAGCGGUUGGCGUCUGAUCCGUCCAACGUUGGUGAAGCCUUCCACUCCACACGUCCAUAUAUGUGCUAUGACAGGUUGGGUAAGUUCACCACAUCAGUUGAAUCAGGACAACGAGAAGAUCAUCAGGCCUGCUGAGCAUGCUGGAGGGAGACACAUUUGAAACUGGUGCUAGUCUGCUAACUUCUUAACCUAAUUGACAAGUUGUUGCUGCAGAAGUUCCAAAUAGGGUGCAAGAGGGUGGUUUAUUCAAAGGAUCAGGUGAGGGGUCACCAGAUUUUGAACAUGGAUGCAGAUUGAAAGACAUUUUGAGUAAUUAGAACUUCAACAAAAAGGACUGGGUGGGGGUGAGACUUGACCAGCAGCGUGCAUGUGAAGAAUUUGGGCAAACAACUUUGUAGAUCUAGCAAUUCUACUAGGGGCAGUUGAAUAAGCAAAGGUUGUUCAAAUUGUGUUCUUUCGGCAGCGAGGCUGGUGGGAGGAGGAAGCCUAAAAUCGAACAAUUUUUUUGGAUUUGUACAUUUACUAAAUUGCUUCAGAGUUUAUUACGAUAUGCUUUCAACUUUCAAUAAAAGUGCAUUUUUGGACUGCAUGGAAAAAAUAUCAUCGAAAUAUAUUGAAGUAAGAUCUUGUUUUGAUGGUUUUGUUGAGGGCAACUCAAUGGUGCAAUCAGAUUUUAA